rnacentral:other from 1 species
UGUUCCCUGCAGUGUACGUGAUAAAUGGUAGGCUUAGAGCCAACACCUCUCUAAGGGGAGCUUUACCUUGUUGCUGUGUGCAUGCUCGUUCUUGCAACGAGAAGCCUGAUGCGACAAAAUGGCGCCCACUUUAACAAGAGGUUCAAGACAUACUGUUUACACGGCACCUGCGGGGUUUAA